GUCGAGCGGCAGCGGGUCCUUCGGGAUGCCGGCGAGCGGCGGACGGGUGAGUAAUGCCUAGGAAUCUGCCUGAUAGUGGGGGAUAACGUUCGGAAACGGACGCUAAUACCGCAUACGUCCUACGGGAGAAAGCGGGGGAUCUUCGGACCUCGCGCUAUCAGAUGAGCCUAGGUCGGAUUAGCUAGUUGGUGAGGUAAUGGCUCACCAAGGCGACGAUCCGUAACUGGUCUGA
rnacentral:rRNA from 1 species